rnacentral:rRNA from 1 species
UCCUACGGGACGCAGCAGUUGGGAAUAUUGGACAAUGGAGGAAACUCUGAUCCAGUGACGCCGCGUGAAGGAAGAAGGUCUUCGGAUUGUAAACUUAUUUUAUCAGGGAAGAAAAAAAUGACUGUACCUGAAGAAGAAGCACCGGCUAACUACGUGCCAGCAGCCGCGGUAAUACGUAGGGUGCAAGCGUUAUCCGGAUUUACUGGGUGUAAAGGGAGCGUAGACGGCAGCGCAAGUCUGGAGUGAAAUGCCGGGGCCCAACCCCGGAACUGCUCUGGAAACUGUGAAGCUGGAGUGCAGGAGAG